AACUUUCAACAACGGAUCUCUUGGUUCUGGCAUCGAUGAAGAAGGCAGCGAAAUGCGAUAAGUAAUGUGAAUUGCAGAAUUCAGUGAAUCAUAGAAUCUUAGAACGCACAUUGCGCCCGGCAGUAAUCUGCCGGGCAUGCCUGUCCGAGCGUCAUUU
rnacentral:rRNA from 1 species